rnacentral:misc_RNA from 1 species
AAAUGCGAUAAGUAAUGUGAAUUGCAGAAUUCAGUGAAUCAUCGAAUCUUUGAACGCACCUUGCGCUCCUUGGUAUUCCUUGGAGCAUGCCUGUUUGAGUAUCAUGAAAUCUUCAAAGUAAAUCUUUUGUUAACUCAAUUGGUUUCUACUUUGGUAUUGGAGGUCUUUGCAGCUUCACACCUGCUCCUCUUUGUUCAUUAGCUGGAUCUCAGUGUUAUGCUUGGUUCCACUCGGCGUGAUAAGUUAUCUAUCGCUGAGGACACUGUAAAAGGUGGCCAAGGUAAAUGCAGAUGAACCGCUUCUAAUAGUCCACUGACUUGGACAAUACUUUUAUGAUCUGAUCUCAAAUCGGGUAGGACUACCCGCUGAACUUAAGC